rnacentral:misc_RNA from 1 species
GAAAUGCGAUAAGUAAUGUGAAUUGCAGAAUUCAGUGAAUCAUCGAAUCUUUGAACGCACAUUGCGCCCGCCAGUAUUCUGGCGGGCAUGCCUGUUCGAGCGUCAUUACAACCCUCAGGCCCCCGGGCCUGGCGUUGGGGAUCGGCGGAAGCCCCCUGCGGGCACAACGCCGUCCCCCAAAUACAGUGGCGGUCCCGCCGCAGCUUCCAUUGCGUAGUAGCUAACACCUCGCAACUGGAGAGCGGCGCGGCCACGCCGUAAAACACCCAACUUCUGAAUGUUGACAUCGAAUCAGGUAGGAAUACCCGCUGAACUUAAGC